CUUUAUGAGACCUCACGUUCUAAAGACAACAGCUUUCAGAUGAUUCCCCUAAAGGUGUCUCUCUAUUCAGUCUCUCUAGAAUCAACCUUUAUGAGACCUCACGUUCUAAAGACAACAGCUUUCAGAUGAUUCCCCUAAAGGUGUCUCUCUAUUCAGUCUCUCUAGAAUCAACCUUUAUGAGACCUCACGUUCUAAAGACAACAGCUUUCAGAUGAUUCCCCUAAAGGUGUCUCUCUAUUCAGUCUCUCUAGAAUCAACCUUUAUGAGACCUCACGUUCUAAAGACAACAGCUUUCAGAUGAUUCCCCUAAAGGUGUCUCUCUAUUCAGUCUCUCUAGAAUCAACCUUUAUGAGAUCUCACGUUCUAAAGACAACAGCUUUCAGAUGAUUCCCCUAAAGGUGUCUCUCUAUUCAGUCUCUCUAGAAUCAACCUUUAUGAGACCUCACGUUCUAAAGACAACAGCUUUCAGAUGAUUCCCCUAAAGGUGUCUCUCUAUUCAGUCUCUCUAGAAUCAACCUUUAUGAGACCUCACGUUCUAAAGACAACAGCUUUCAGAUGAUUCCCCUAAAGGUGUCUCUCUAUUCAGUCUCUCUAGAAUCAACCUUUAUGAGACCUCACGUUCUAAAGACAACAGCUUUCAGAUGAUUCCCCUAAAGGUGUCUAUCGGGAAACGUCUUUAAGGUGACAGGAGAGACCAGAUAAGUAACUCAUGAUAAG